rnacentral:tRNA from 1 species
UGUGGUAUAGCUCAGUUUGGAGAGCGCUUGCAUGGCAUGCAAGAGGUCAGUGGUUCGAUCCCGCUUACCUCCACCA